AGUGAACGCUGGCGGUAGGCCUAACACAUGCAAGUCGAACGGCAGCACAGUAGGAUCUUGCUCUUACGGGUGGCGAGUGGCGGACGGGUGAGGAAUACAUCGGAAUCUACUUUUUCGUGGGGGAUAACGUAGGGAAACUUACGCUAAUAUCGCAUACGACCUACGGUUGAAAGCAGGGGAUCUUCGGACCUUUCGCGAUUGAAUGAGCCGAUGUCGGAUUAGCUAGUUGGCGGGGUAAAGGCCCACCAAGGCGACGAUCCGUAGCUGGUCUGAGAGGAUGAUCAGCCACACUGGAACGGAGACACGGUCAAGACUCCUAAGGGAGGCAGCAGUGGGGAAUAUUGGGCAAUGGGCGCAAGCCUGAUCCAGCCAUACCGCGUGGGUGAAGAAGGCCUUCGGGUUGUAAAGCCCUUUUGUUGGGAAAGAAAAGCAGCAGGUUAAUACCCCGCUGUUCUGACGGUACCCAAAGAAUAAGCACCGGCUAACUUCGUG
rnacentral:rRNA from 1 species